rnacentral:lncRNA from 1 species
UCUAAUGAGAUGUUUGCAGCUGGAGCGCAGGGCUGCUGGAGACUAACUGUGAGCUACUAACACGGGUGGAAGAUAGCUUUUGCAAUACUCGGUUUGCAUGUGCUGAAAGUCAUCUGUCUUCUGAGUCAACACUCCCGACCUGGUAAACAACCUGCUCAGGGCUCUGGUGAACAAGCUGUAGGUAAGGGAGAUGCACAAUUGGAGGCGUGCCGUUGACACGGGAUCUUUCUCUUGUAACUGUCAGCAUGACAGGUUACCUGUUUCAGUUUUUUCUGGGUUGCAUGCCUACCUCUAUGGCAACGCACAAGAGUGUCCUGCACUAAAACCACUGAGUCCAGAUUGGUGGAAGUGACCUUCCAG